AUGACACACUCCAUCGUUGAAUUGAGGCUCGACAAUGAGAGAAUUGAUGAGGAACUCAAGGUUAUUUGGUCACUCUCAAGUGCGAGAAUCGGUGCAAGAUCUUCAAGGAAGGAAGUUAUUUCUAUGGAUUUCAUAGAUUUCAGAUUUGUAUCCGCCUACUCUUCCAUUGGCAAAAAAUUUCUUGUAACACUUUGCUCCUUCAAGGAUGACGACUCUUCAAUCGGUUCCUCUUCCUCAUCUAAAAUUGGUAAAAUUGAUCUUCAAUCAGGUUUAAAACGCCAUAACAAUGUUGUUGUAAAGGUAUCCCAACUAUAUCUGUCAUGA